UACGGAGGGGGCUAGCGUUGUUCGGAAUUACUGGGCGUAAAGCGCACGUAGGCGGCUUUGUAAGUUAGAGGUGAAAGCCCAGGGCUUAACCCUGGAAUUGCCUUUAAGACUGCAUCGCUCGAAUUGUGGAGAGGUGAGUGGAAUUCCGAGUGUAGAGGUGAAAUUCGUAGAUAUUCGGAAGAACACCAGUGGCGAAGGCGACUCACUGGACACAUAUUGACGCUGAGGUGGCGAAAGCGUGGGGAGCAAACAGG
rnacentral:rRNA from 1 species